UUCCAUCUGAUCAUGGCCUGAAACUGGUGUUCAUUUUCCCAAAAUGUCGUUUUUCUGCAUGUACCGGCUCUACGUUUCGUUUCAUGCAGAAAUACUUCAGAACAGUAAUUUCUGAGCUUCUUCAUUGCAGUCCAAUGUGGACAUAGAUUUGUUGUUGUCAGCUGGCGAAAGGUGUUCCUCUUGCAAGCUUGCUACCUGUACUGGUUGUAGCUUUUGUGAUAGGUUGAUACAGAAAGAAUAUUUGUUUCACUUUAGAGUACUCUGCAAAGUUCAAAUGAUUUUGUAUUUUAAUCUUAAAUGGGUCAACUAGAUUCAUGUAAAUUUGUGUUUGAACAAUAGUUAUCAGAUAAUGUUGCCAUAGAAUAUUUGGGCAUUUCCAUGAUGAAGAUCCCCAACUAUCUUCACUUGACAUCACCCACUAUUGAGAGACAAUCCCAAGCAUUGAACAAGUUCUGCACAGUGCCGUAAGAGUUGGAUAUCAACAAAAAGAUUGAAAAUCAUUUACCCAUCACAAUCACAACUCAACUAGUGAUGAUUACCUAAAUUCUUUCCUCUCAUUUAGUGAUGCCCGUAACACUCCAGGUGAAAUUGAGCUCUUUGAAAUUGGACAACCAUGCCAAGGAUAAAUUCCUCUUUUUCCUGAACCGGCUGUACGUUUUGUAAGAAACACUUCAGAACUAUUUAGGAUUAUCAGUCUGGUAAAUAUAUGAGAUUCUUUGUUGCUGCCCAACAUACACAUGGAUUUGAUGCAGCCAGCUGAGGGCUUUAACUCUUGUUUAGUGUUUUAUGUUCGCGUAGUUGCUGUCCGAUGGGGCACGUUGUUGAAGCCUAUGCUGGUGAAAGAUCUUUCUACAUCAAGUUCAAUUGGCCGUUCCUUGGUGCUGAUGUUGUGUUACCGAAGUUGCAUAAUAUUUUGUUAAAUUGUCAUCGUGACUUGCAGUUUACCGUUUAUAAGUUCAGAAGCAACAAAAACAAAUAUGGGAUGUUCAUGUCAAACAAAUAAUAAACAUGUUUUUGGGGUUGGGAAAGGAAAAUGGUGGAUGUUGGAAGGGUGAGGGAGGAUAUUUCAAGUUUGGAUAAAAAUUCAGUUAAUCUAUAACCCUACAAACCUAUCCCUACCAAUUAAUCUCCAAACCCCACAAACAAAAUACCAUCUAAUCCUUCAAACCUCGAAAACAUACACCUACCAACCCUUAAAUCUAUACCCUUAACCCUAUAAACCAAUUUUAAACCUUAACCAUGUAUCUGUAAUAAAUUUAAAAAAUACACUAUAUGAAAAAACUUUUA